UUCCGCAAGAGUACGCGCUGCACUUAUCAUGUGCUAUUAGCUGAACCCUAAAUUUUGUAAUAACUGAGUUUAAGUAUGUCUCUCCAGCUACUUGCAUUCAUUUUGGGUAUUAAUACGGAUGUAACGUGAAUUCAAGCUUGAACAAAUUACAUGUACGCGCUUUGUAAAUGAGCACUAGCAGCUCACGUGGCAGCAGCGUGGGCAGGCCGCGAACCAUGAAGGAGCAGGAACCACAGAUCACCAAAAUAACAUGGUUGUGUGUGGCUCAUCAGAUGGAAGGUGUCUCGCCUUGAACUGAAGCAAGUUUCCUAUGUUGCACAUAACUUUACAAUGCAUAUUCAUAAUAAAGAAAAAUAUUCCCUUCUACCUGUGUCUGAAUUUGAUUUCUUUAAACCAAUGUUUGCACUUUUUGAACUGGAAUGGCCCCUUCCUUAGCCACAUCCAGUAGUGAAAAUAAGUGCUACAUUAAAGUCUUGUCAUAACUGGGGUUUCGUGGCAUUUUCUACCAAGAUGCUCUUUUAAAGCAAGACACAAACGUUGCAUAUUCUCUACAAAUGGAGAAUGUUUGCGUUGGUUCAAACAGAUUUAAUUCAAGGAUAUUUUUAUUGUCAUAUCACCUUGCUUGUUUGUGGUAUGAGAUUUGGUCUCGGGUCCCAGAUUAAGAAAUUUACAUCAAAAAAUAAUGUACCUGUGAUAUUUGAAUAAAAUAAAGUGACUUUUUAAAGA